GUCCAAACCAAUGUAUCUAAAAGAUAACUCCUGUUUCAGGAACAUAGCAAUUUGGAAGAAAAUCUGGCAUGCCUGAGGUCUGGGGAACAAGGAUUGCUUGUUGCCUUUGCCUGCCUUUGGCUGCCUACAUGU